rnacentral:rRNA from 4 species
UACUUAGUGGCAGACGGGUGAGUAACAUGUGGGUAUCUACCCUUUGGCCUGGAAUAACACGAGGAAACUUGUGCUAAUACCGGAUAAGUCUUUACGGAGAAAGCUUUAUGCACCAUUGGAUGAGCCCGCACUUGAUUAGUUUGUUGGUAGGGUAAUGGCCUACCAAGACUAUGAUCAAUAGCUGAUUUGAGAGGAUGAUCAGCCACAUUGGGACUGAGACACGGCCCAAACUCCUACGGGAGGCAGCAGUGGGGAAUCUUGCACAAUGGAGGAAACUCUGAUGCAGCGAUGCCGCGUGAGUGAAGAAGGCCUUUGGGUUGUAAAGCUCUUUCGUCGGGGAAGAAAAUGACUGUACCCGAAUAAGAAGGUCCGGCUAACUUCGUGCCAGCAGCCGCGGUAAUACGAAGGGACCUAGCGUAGUUCGGAAUUACUGGGCUUAAAGAGUUCGUAGGUGGUUGAAAAAGUUGGUGGUGAAAUCCCAGAGCUUAACUCUGGAACUGCCAUCAAAACUUUUCAGCUAGAGUAUGAUAGAGGAAAGCAGAAUUUCUAGUGUAGAGGUGAAAUUCGUAGAUAUUAGAAAGAAUACCAAUUGCGAAGGCAGCUUUCUGGAUCAUUACUGACACUGAGGAACGAAAGCAUGGGUAGCGAAGAGGAUUAGAUACCCUCGUAGUCCAUGCCGUAAACGA